GGGCCAUAGCUCAGUGGGAGAGCAUCUACCAUGCAUAUACAGAAAGUCCCAGGCUCAAUCCCUGGCAUCUCCA